AGCCAUGUGGUGAGCACAAAGCGAACUAUUCUUUCGCCUUUUACUAAAGAAUACCGUGUGUUCUCCAUAUAUAGUGGCAUACCCUAUUUUUGGAGAGUCCUUUCAUUUAUUUGGAGGGCU